rnacentral:rRNA from 1 species
AUGUUUAAUGACGAUAUAUUUAGUCUCCCAAGUUUUGAUAUGCAAAUUUAUAAUGAUGAUAGCAUGCCUCCUACCUAUGAUGAUUAUUGUGAUGAUACUUAUGCUAUAAAAAGUAGUGAUUAUAUUUAUAAAACUUGUCCUCCCACUAUUCCGAAUGAGAAGAAUUUUGCUUAUGUGGAGAGUAAUAAAAAUUCUAUGCUUAUGCAUCAUGAAAAUAAUGAUUUAGGUGCUGGUUAUAUUUUUGAAUUCAUUCAUGAUGCCACUGAAAAUUAUUAUGAGGGAGGAACAUAUGCUUGUAGGAAUUGCAAUAAUAUCAAGUUUCCUCUCUAUGUGUUGAAAAUCUUGAAGUUAUGCUUGUUUUGCUUUCCUAUGCUAGUUGAUCAUUGUUCCCAUAAAUUGUUUGCUCAAAAAAUCCCUAUGCAUAGGAAAUGGGUUAGACUUCAAUGUGUUAGCAAUAUGCUUCAUGAUGCUCUCUUUAUGUUUCAAUUCUUAUCUUUUAUGUGA